AUAUUGGAAGCUUGCUUCCGAUAGGCGUCGACCGGCGCACGGGUGAGUAACGCGUAUCCAACCUGCCCAUCACUUGGGAAUAACCUUGCGAAAGUAAGACUAAUGCCCAAUGACAUUUAUAGAAGGCAUCUGAAAUGAAUUAAAGAUUUAUCGGUGAUGGAUGGGGAUGCGUCUGAUUAGCUUGUUGGCGGGGUAACGGCCCACCAAGGCGACGAUCAGUAGGGGUUCUGAGAGGAAGGUCCCCACAUUGGAACUGAGACACGGUCCAAACUCC
rnacentral:rRNA from 1 species